CAGCAGCCGCGGUAAUACGUAGGUGGCAAGCGUUGUCCGGAAUUAUUGGGCGUAAAGGGCUCGCAGGCGGUUUCUUAAGUCUGAUGUGAAAGCCCCCGGCUCAACCGGGGAGGGUCAUUGGAAACUGGGAAACUUGAGUGCAGAAGAGGAGAGUGGAAUUCCACGUGUAGCGGUGAAAUGCGUAGAGAUGUGGAGGAACACCAGUGGCGAGGGCGACUCUCUGGUCUGUAACUGACGCUGAGGAGCGAAAGCGUGGGGAGCGAACAGGAUUAGAUACCCGUGUAGUCCCUGUCUCUUAUAC
rnacentral:rRNA from 1 species